GAUGCAGAAUGUUUUCCUGAUGAAGGUUUGCUUCCACUCUCUCUUACUUCUCUAUCCCUCUAUCAUUGUCCAAAUCUAGAGAAACUGGAUUACAAGGGUCUCCAUCAACUCUCAUCUCUCAAAAGAUUGAUUCUUUUUUACUGCCCCAAUGUCCAAUGCUUACCAGAUGAGGGUCUUCCCAAAUCAGUUUCAAAUCUUCAUAUAAGUGAGUGUUAUUGGCUGAAACAGCGUUGCCAAAACGAAGGCGAAGACUGGGAAAAGAUUACUCACAUUAAAGAUGUGUACAUGGAGUAGUGAUGUUUGUUUUGAACACUGAUGCAUGGCUACAAUUUAUUUUUCUUUUGAAUGUGUGUCAAUUGUAGUAGUGCCAUGACCAUCAGUUCAUUCCCUAAGUUUAUCAUUGUUGUUUCGUGCCCUGGGGUAUGUUAGGAUCAUAGAGGGUAAGGAGGGAACCAUGUAUCUGGUUUAUCUGUUAUAUCAGUUUUAUAUGUUAAGCUGCAGCUACACAUGCAGGGUCCCUUAAGAGGAUGUAUCUGGUUUGAGUAGUUUAUCUUCAUGUGUAAAUGCUAGCUAAAUGGGGUCUUUAUAAAAGGGUUUAAGUGUGCCCUUUUUAAUUUAAUUUAUUCUUUGUGGAUAAAAAAAAACUUUAACUGAUAUCUACUUUUUUUUUACCAUUAUCUAGGAAGGAUUUUCAAGAUUAUGCGGAACUUUGUUUUAAAGAAUUUGGAGACAGGGUAAAACAUUGGAUUACAUUAAAUGAACCAUGGACCUUUAGUAAAUAUGGGUAUGCUGAUGUUAUUUCACCAUCUGGAAGAUGUUCAACCUGGCAAAACUUUAUCUUGUGCUAAUGGUGAUUCAGCCACUGAACCCUACAUAGUGAGUCACAAUCAAUUACUUGCUCAUGCAGCUGCUGUCAAUGUCUAUAAGACAAAAUAUCAGGUUCAAUUACAACUUUUGUAUUUUGAAAUGCAAUCAGAAUAAGUGUAUUGAUUUCCUUAUUCAAUCAAAGAGUCAUAAUAAACUAGUCCUAAACUUAAAUUUUGCUUCAUGUAUGUACGUGUCUCAAAAGGGUGUGAUAGGGAUAUCACUGUCAUGUCAUUGGAUAGUACCACUCUAUUAUACAGAGUCCGAUCACCACCUUGGUUUUAUAUUUGGAUGGUAACUACUUUAUGAACCUAAAUUCUAAUGUGGAGCUCAAGUAUAGUAUGAUAGUGAUUCUAUAUUAUUUUGUCAUUUUAAUUCAAUAUAUUGUAGGAGAAAGAUUCAAAUCUUGUCACACAAUGAGGCCUCAUGAUAUAAUAUGUUUUCCUCCAUAACAAUUUAACACUGGAAUGUAAUAGAAUGUGUGUGUACUUAGAAAAAAUUACUUUCAUUUUAUGAUUAGUCAGAGACAUAAAAAUUAAAGGGACAAAAGCUUGAUAUAGUGGUCAGAUAAGAACACAAAACUUAUCAUGAAGAACACCCAAAGAGCAGUCCAAUCCAUGACAGGUUAUUCAGAUGAAAAAUCCUACAAUAAAUACAUAUUAUCUACUCAACUAUAUAUAAUGCUAUGAUUAAACUAAUAAUCCCAAUAACUAAUUUAUUCAAAUACUGUAUUGUAGGUUUAAAAAACGACCUCAUUUUGGUAAUAAGGGGCAAAAGAGAUUGCCUCAGUUUCGUACAAAAACCGAUAAAUGAGAUUAUAACUAUAUGAUACCAUUCAAACUAUCUUUGUUAUUCUAAUCCAUCAUUUUAAUUUAGUUAUAUAUAUAUGUUUGAGGUGCAACACAAAUUGCAGCUGAUGAAUCAAAAUCAAGUAUUUAUAUUGUUAAUUUUUGUUUUUAGUAGAGAAUGAUGUAGAAUAUUGACAGGUGAGCGUAAUGGAACACCUACUGGUAAAAUGGUAAGUUUGUAAUUACAUUUUAUUGAAAGUGCAACUACAUAUCAGUGCUUCAUUUCAAUUAGUUUUUCAAUGAAGAAAAGGAAAGUUGUAUUCUGCAGACUACUUCAAAAUGGUUGCAUGUUUGUCCGAAAGGAAUUCAUGAUCUGUUGCUGUAUAUCAAAACAAAGUAUAACAACCCUUUGAUCAACAUCACUGAAAAUGGUAAUGUAGCAGUUGAGUUUAAUCAUGAAAUUUUCAUUUAUCAAAGUUUAAAUCAUUGAAGUAAGAGAGAGAAUUGAUAUAAUGUGUUUUUCCUUCUCAUACUGAUAUAUGUUAAAGAAACAAUUUAUUCACUUGUGUAUAUAGGUAUAGAUGAAUUCAAUGAUCACACUCUAUCACUUGAAGAAGCCUUAGCAGAUACUUCAAGAAUUGAUUACUUUUAUGAUCACCUCUAUUAUCUUCAAAGUGCAAUCGAGUAAGUACUUUACACCAUGUUCAAAAUGUGCUAAGGGCAGAAAAAAGCUUCCUAAUUAUAUGAUGAUAAUGUAUUACUUUUUUGUUUGAUUUUAUUAGGAAUGGCGUGAAUGUGAAAGGAUAUUUUGCAUGGUCUUUAACUGACAGCUUCGAAUGGAAUUUAGGGUACAUUUCAAGGUUUGGAACAAUCUUUGUAGAUUACCAUAACCUCAAAAGAUAUCCAAAGUUAUCUGCCAUUUGGUUUAGAGAUUUCCUACAAGGCAAAAUAGAUACAUAUGACAAUUAAUUGCUGCUAAACUCUAUCUAUUACUCCAUUUUUUAAAAUGACAGAGUUUCUAUUAGCCCAUAAAACCCAUAUAACUGCCAUCCACACUCCUUGUUGGUAUACCCUUCUUUAUUAUUCCUGGGAAACUUUAUUUCUAUGUCUCCUCAUAUUUAAUCUCCAACUGUUUCGGUAUGGAUGGGGUCUACGUUAAUGAAUUCUCAUCAUGUUCCAUCUUUGUCUCUUUUUUUUUCUGGUUUGAUGUUGCCUUUCUUUAUCAAGUUGGGGACCAAGUUUAUUAAAUAUAACACGUUUUGUAUUAAUUUCUCACUUCAACUUUUCGAAUACGUGCAUAUAAGUUAAAAAUCUAGGAUGUUUUUGUUCUCUGGAAGGUCCUUUUUACUCACCUUUGAGGCUGCAAAAUCAAAAGGGAAUCUACCCACUUGCAUAUCAACCCUUACAGCUGCUCCAAGCCACAUGUCAUGUACCAAAAGGUGUGGUCAUCACUGCUGUAACACUUUAGCAGCAGUGAUUUAUUUACACAAGCUUCAACUUAUGUAGGAAAACAUACUUAGACCUAUCAAACCAGCUUCAACCAGUAACAAGAAGUUCUACUGUAAAAUUUGAUUUACUUCUUAAAUGAAAAGUCUAGGUUUAAAAGCUUCAAUGCCCAUGUUGAAAAAGAAGUUAGUAUAUGUAUUACUUGUUUGAGAACAGAUAGAAGUGAUGUUCACCUCAAACAGUUAGAGUAAGUUGCAAACCAAAGGGCUAUCAAUUGUUUGAUCCAAUAUCCUAGAAAGUCAUGCCUACUGUAUCCAUCUUUUACCUGUGAUCUUAAUAAUGACAAAGAUGUUAAGAAGUGGGCUUUAACGUACUAUGAAAGACUCUAAUCUUUAGUCGAUGUGGGAUCUCCAACACACCCCUCCAACUCGUGCGUGGAAAUAUAUGUUAUGGGUGGUCCGAUAACCAUGACUCUGAUACCAUCUUACGAAGUGGACUUUAAGCCUAACUCAACCUCAUAAAACUGGCUCAAUGAGGUGAGGUUUGUAUCCACUUAUAUACUAUGAAAGACUCUAAUCUCUAGUCGAUGUGAGAUCUCCAACACACCCCUCACGUCGAGGCUACCAACUCGUGCGCGGAGAUAUAUGUUAUGGGUGGUCCGAUUACGGUCCAAUAGCGGAUGACCUGCUAAACCCAACAAAUAUUCGCUAGAAUAGGCUCCAAAUUAAUUUGGUCAAUUAACCUUUCUGAUGGAGUGUAGGAAGCAAAUGUAAUGAUGGAGGAAGCCAAAUGUUGUAGGAAGAAACACCCUAUAUUAUAUUGUACAAUAUUAUAGAAACAGAGAAACUUAUACAUUUUUGCUUUAUCUUUGAUUGUACAGGUCUGAUGCAAAACAAGUAAAACGUGUUAAUUGGAAUAGAAGAACAGAUUGAAGAUAAGGUGAUGUCGACAGCUCUGCAUAGUUAGGUAGUGCCUUUAUGUUUAAAACUAAUAUAUAAAGUAGUAGUUUGAAAAUAGAAAAUUACCCUUUUAUUAUAUUUUAUUUAAAAAUAUGUUAAGAUUUUAGUUGGUUUCCUUUAACUUCUUCCAUUAAAACAAAUCUUUCCUUAUAAUUAUGAUUAUGAUUAUGGUUAUCUUUCCUUUCUUUUAUCUUGAUUUUCAAAUCAGAUUUCUCCAUUAUUUAUUUGCAAAUACAGGUGGUGGAUUUUGUAUAAAAAUAAAAUUUAGUUUUAAUAUAUAUUAUAUUUGCAAUAGACUUCAUUAGUUAAAUUCGUAUAUAUAUUAGUGCACACAUCUGGAAUGAGAGUGAAAAAACUAUGAAGAUUGUAGCUAUGGUAUUGAGUUGGAAUCUUCUCUCUGGUGUUUUGCUGCUUAUGCUAUCAGUACCAAUCUGCAUUGAAGGUUCAGUUUCAAUUUUUUCCACUGAUGAUUUUAGGAGUACAUCUCUCAACAGAAGCAGUUUUCCAAAAGGUUUUAUAUUUGGGGCAGGAUCAUCUUCUUAUCAGGUUCUUCCAAAACAGUGAUACUUUUUUUAUAUUUUGAAACUUUUUUUUAUAAACAUCUACUGAAAUAUUGUAAACUUUAGAGAAAGUUUCACAGGGAGCGUAUUUCUUGUAAAUUUCUGUAAAAAGUAUGUAGGAAAAGUUUCACAAAUCGUCGAAAUUUUGCAAUAAUCUUUAAGUUUGAAAGAGAUUAAUUAAUUGCCAUAUAAACUAGUGUGAAGGUGCAGCAAAUGUUGGUGGCAGAGGACCAAGCAUAUGGGAUACAUUCACUCAUACUCACCCAGGUUUUAUUUUUUUCCUUGCUUAUAGUACAAUCCAUGUUCACUGUAAUUUUUUUUAGUGUGUUCAAUUAUAGCUUGUUGUGUAUGGUAAUUUAUUGAGUUUAUAUUAUUGUAUUAAAAUGUAAUGUAGUUUUGAUAGAGUUUUCUAAUUAUUACUAUGUUCUUGAUCUGCCAGAGAAAUGUCUGUAGUUACAAAUUCUAGCAUAUUUUGUUUGAAACAUGACAGAUAAAAUACUGGACGGAAGUAAUGGAGAUGUUAGCAUUGAUCAAUACCAUCGUUAUAAGGUAUGAUAAUAAGGACCCUUUAAUACUUAAUAUGUGGUGAAGCAAUAAAAUAAAGCAUACUUGAAAUUCUUUUCAUGACUAAUAACACAGGAAGAUGUUGAAAACAUUAAGGAAAUGAACAUGGAUGCUUUCAGAUUUUCAAUCUCUUGGUCCAGAAUACUUCCAAGUAAGAAACAGGAAACUAUAUAUGAGCUUCUCUUUCUUAUAAUUUUGUACAUUAGUACUCCUUAAUCAUAGCAAUAAAAAAUAUGUAUUGUAUAAAUUGAUGGCUAUUAUUUAAAUCUUAGAUUCUUUGGCUAAUUUCAGAAGGAAAGGUUAGCGGAGGUGUGAACAAGGAAGGAAUCAACUAUUACAACAACCUCAUUAAUGAACUGUUAGAUAAAGGUUAAUAUGUAGAUAACUAUAUUUUUUAAAUUUCAUUUUCUCUAAUUUAGUUUUGAAAUUGAAACAAGUAACUCAAUUUACUGACAUCCAUAAUGCAGGUCUUAAACCCUUUGCGACCCUUUUUCAUUGGGACCUUCCUCAAGCCUUAGAAGACGAAUAUGAUGGUUUUUUAAGUCCUAAUAUAGUGUAACUCACAUUUCUUAUAUCUAAUAAUCAAAAUAUAUUAUUUGUGAGAACAUUCUCUAACUAAUAUCUACUUUUUUAUCAUUAUCUAGGGAUGAUUUUAAAGAUUAUGCAGAACUUUGUUUUAAAGAAUUUGGAGACAGGGUAAAACAUUGGACUACAUUAAAUGAACCAUGGACCUUUAGUACAUAUGGGUAUGCUGAGGCUGCUUUCCCACCUGGAAGAUGUUCAACCUGGCAAAACUUAUCUUGUACUGCUGGUGAUUCAGCCACUGAACCCUACAUAGUGACUCACAAUCAAUUACUUGCUCAUGCAGCUGCUGUCAAUGUCUAUAAGACAAAAUAUCAGGUAAGGUUUAAUUACAUAUUUUGUAUUUUGAAAUGCGAUCAGAAUAAGUGUAUUGAUUUCCUUAUUCAAUAAAAGAGUCAUAAUAAACAAGUCCUAAACUAAAAUUUUGCUUCAUGUAUGUAGGUGUCUCAAAAGGGUGUGAUAGGGAUAUCGCUGGCAUGUCAUUGGAUAGUACCACUCUAUGAUACAGAGUUGGAUCAGUUUGCUGCAGAAAGAGCCCUUGAUUUUUUAAUCGGAUGGUAACUACUUUAUGAACCUAAAUUCUAUGUGGAGCUCAACUAUAGUAUGAUAGUGAUUCUAAAUUAUUUUGUCAUUUUAAUUCAAUAUAUUGUAGGAGAAAGAUUGAAAUAUUGUCACACAAUGAGGCCUCAUGAUAUAUUAUGUUUUCCUCAUAACAAUUUAACUCUGGAAUGUAAUAGAAUGUGUGUGUACUUUGAGAAAAUUACUUUCAUUUUAUGAUUAGUCAGAGACAUAAAUAGUUUAAUUAAAGGGACAAAAGCUUGAUAUAGUGGUCAGAUAAGAACACUAAACUUAUGAAGAACACCAAAAGAGUAGUCCAAUCCAUUACAGGUUAUUCAGAUGAAAAAUCCUACAAUUAAUACUGAUUAUCUACUCAACUAUAAUGCUAGGAUUAAACUAAUAAUAUGUAUAACUAAUUUAUUCAAAUACUGUAUUGUAGGUUUAUGGAGCCAAUGACAAUUGGAGAAUACCCUAAAUCCAUGCAAUCUCUGGUAGGGAGUCGAUUACCAAAGUUUUCUGCUGAUGAGAUCAAACUUGUAAGAGGGUCCUUUGAUUUUAUUGGAAUAAACUACUAUACUUCUUAUUAUGCUUCUGAUACACCUGAGUUAAGUGAAGCAAGGCCUAGCGCCCUCACAGAUUCUCUUGUUAUUCUUACAAGUAAGUGCUCCUUAAUAUCUAUCUCAUUAUUGACUAUAUAUAGACUUUAACGUAUGAAAGAAGAUAAAUGACCGAAUUUGUACGAAACUCAUACAAUUUUUACCUCUGUAAUGGGUCGUCAUUUAAAAUAUUACGAGGUUGGAAAAUUCAUGCCAACAUGACAUGACUUUAUUAUGAAGAAAUCGUAGGAAAAAUACUAUGACUUUUGUUAUGUCAAUGUGAUGUCAUGUCAAGGUGACACGACUUCAAUUCAAAAUGAUUACAUAAAAGUCGUGUCACCUUAUACAAUUUCAAAUUUUCUUCACAAUAAAAUCAUACCAUAUUUGCACGACUUCUCCAACCUUGUAGUAUUUUAAAAAACAACCCCAUUUUAGUAAUAAGGGGCAAUGAUUGCCUCAGUUUCUUACAAAAACCGAUAAAUGACAUUAUAACUAUAUGAUACCAUUCAAACUAUCAUUGUUAUUCUAAUCCAUCAUUUAAUUUAGUUAUAUAUAUGUUUGAGGUCAAACACAAAUUGCAGCUGAUGUAUCAAAAUCAAGUAUUUAUAUUGUUAAUUUAUGUUAUUAGUAGAGAAUGAUGUAGAAUAUUAACAGGUGAGCGUAAUGGAAUACCUAUUGGUAAAGUGGUAAGUUUGUGAUUACAUUUUAUUGAAACUGCAACUACAUAUCAGUGCUUCAUUUCAAUUAGUUUUUCAAUAAAGAAAAGGAAAGUUGUAUUCUGCAGAGUACUUCAAAAUGGUUCUAUGUUUGUCCAAAAGGAAUUCAUGAUCUGUUGCUGUAUAUGAAAACAAAGUACAACAACCCUUUGCUCUACAUCACUGAAAAUGGUAAUGUAGCUGUUGAGUUUAAUCAUGAAAUUUUCAUUUAUGAAUGUUUAAAUCAUUGAAGUAAGAGAGAGAAUUGAUAUAAUGUGUUUUUCCUUCUCAUACUGAAACAAUUUAUUCACUUGUGUAUAUAGGUAUAGAUGAAAUCAUUGAUGAAACUCUAUCACUUGAAGAAGCCUUAGCAGAUACUUCAAGAGUUGAUUACUUUCAUGAUCAUCUCUAUUAUCUUCAAAUUGCAAUCGAGUAAGUGCUUUACACCAUCUUCAAAAUGUGUUAAUGCCAGAAAAAAGCUUCCUAAUUAUAUUAUGAUAAUGUAUUACUUUUUUGUUUUGAUUUUAUUAGGAAUGGCGCGAAUGUGAAAGGAUAUUUUGCAUGGUCUUUAACUGACAACUUCGGAUGGAGUUUAGGGUCCAUUACAAGGUUUGGAACAAUCUUUGUAGAUUACCAUAAUCUCAAAAGAUAUCCAAAGUUAUCUGCCAUUUGGUUUAGAGAUUUCCUACAAGGCAAAAUAGAUACAUAUGACCAUUAAUUGCUGCUAAGAAAAUUAAUUUCAACAAUGUAUUUGUACGGAUCAAAUCAUCAUACUUCUAUUCUUCAAUUUAUGUGUCAAUAAUGUAAAAGUAUGGUUUUGUUAGUGUCUAUUUUGAGUUGGAAUCUUCUAUGGAUUUAUAUGGGAAAGAACAUUAUUAUUAUUAUUAUUAUUAUUAUUAUUAUUAUUAUUUAGAUUAGGCUGACACUCUAGGUUUCAGCAAUUUAUAUUACGAAAAUCUAUAUUAACAAGAGAUAAUAAAGUCAAAGCUAUAAAAAUUAUAAAUUGUUUGUUUUAAAUUAUAUUCUUUAUCUCAAUUUUUUUUAAAUAAAGAAUGUAGAAUUCUUAUUUAUAAGUUCAUUCCAAGAUCAAAUCUCUUUUCUUAAUUGAUAUAAGUAACAAGUAUUACAUUCUGGCUGGUUUUAUUAUUUAUCAUUAGCCCUUCUAAGUUCUUUUUCAUUAGGACUACUGUUGGCUCUUUUUCCUAAAUAGGCUACAAAUCUCAUGUACUCUAAAAUAUGAAAUGAUAAAAAUUGUUCUUCAACAUUUUUAAACUUUAUUAUACGCGCAGUAAGAUUUUAUCCCUUGGAGAAAAACUUUCAAAAGGAAUUGAACAUAUAUAUUUUCAGAAACCUUUUCAAAAUAUGAGAUUAUCAACAUGAAAUACACUAUUAAGAAGAACUCAGAGUUCAUGCAUAGAUAUGCUUUUGGACUCAUCAUCAAAUUGUUCAUUAAUGUUUAAGGAAGAUAUAUUGUCGGUUAUUUUGGAUUUGCCUUGACAAAACAAACAAUAUAAGCUUAUUUGCAUAAAAUUUUCCAUAAAUAAUUGCAAGACAAAAAAUUAUACAGAAAAAAAUAAUGCAAUAAGCAUUUUCAAAAGUUAAAAUUUUCUCUUAGCUAGUUAAAAGUCAAAUUUCAAAUCAGCUAAUAAAAGAAGUUUAUGCAAAUUUGAUUGUGCACAAACUAACUUCAAUUUUGAAGAAACUUAUUUUUGUCUUGAAAAGAACUACUUUUGACAUACAACUACUGAUAUCCUUAUUAAAGUUUUGUCAUGGACUUUGGUUCAUUAACAAUGGGGGAAGAAAUUCAGGUUCAACUUUUUCUAGUUUGUAUGUAUCAACCCUCAAGAAUGGUUAAAGAUUUCAAGACUAGCAGAACCAACUAUAAUGCUUAGGAAAACAUAUUCAAAGAUGCUGGAGUACAAUUUACCUAUGGAACAAUUAUCAUAAUGCUUGUACUAUGCAUAUACAUGGAUUGUUUUGGACACCAAUUUUGGAAUAUCCAAUCAUUAUGCUCUAUUACAGAUAAACUACCUCUCCGAAGGAUCUUUUGUAUAAGAGUUAGAAAUUUUAGACACCAAUUUUGGAAUAUCCGUCAUUAUGUCAAAUGUGUUUUUUAGUUAGACAAUUUGUUCUCUAUGACAGAGAAACUACCUCUUUGGAACAUAUUUUGUAUAAGAGUUAGAGCACUACUGAAUGUUCUGUUUUUAAUAUAUUUAUUCAUUCUUAAAACUCUCAAGAAUGCAUAAUGUUUUGCUUUUCCCGACUUGAAUAAUUUGAAUAUGUAGAUUGUAGCAAACAAUGGAAAUUAUAGGAGACUUGGAUUGACAUGAUGGUGCGUAGAAUGAACAUGCUGAAUGUCAACAUUUAUGCAGGGAAACUACUGAUCUCUGUUUUGGUAGUGCUGGUAUUUUGUGUUAGCUCUCAUCAUUGUUACACCAUUUUUAUUCUGCAUUUGUCUCCUUAUAGGAGCUUAUGUCAUAGAUCAUAUGCUGAAUCAUAUUCCUUAUGCAUGUUUUAAGAUUUCUUCUUCUUCCUUUUAAUAAAUACUCUUGUAUUUCAAAAUUUUAAAACAUGUAACAAUGUUAGAACAACUUAUACUAGUUAUAAAUAUUUGGAUCUAAAGUCAGACUGGGAUUUGGACCAAAGCGCUGAUGAUCUAGCCAAAGAAAGGAAUGCAACUGUAUUGUAUAUAGUUAGAAUUUUUGGACAUAGUUGGAAUUUUUGGAAUUUUUUCUGUGUUUUAGUAUUUUAGAAAAACAGAAAAAUGAGUUUUGAUGUGGUUGGUGAGAAUGGAUGGAAUUUAGAAGGAAAAUUAGAGGAGUAGAAAAUUGCAACAGAAUUUAAUGAAUAUGAUGGAAACAAAAUGAUGGCUACUCAUUCAUUGAUGGACAACAGCUGUGAAGGUUUGUGUUGAGUGGUGACCUUAAACUAAACCAUCAUUCAUAACAAAACAUCUUCUUACUACUCUUCUCAUCAUCACUCAUAUCUCUCCACUAACUCUUUUCCAUUCACAUUUUCUACCAUGGCUGCUGAAUUCAUUACCAAUGCUCUUGUCUCCACCUUCGUUGAGACCACCAUUGACAAUUUGGCUUCUCGUUUUGGAGACAUAUUUCGUGGAAAAAAAUACAAGGAGCAGCUAACCAACUUGAAGCUGAAGCUCCUAGCACUUGAUGUUGUGACUGAUGAUGCAGAACAGAAACAAUUCACAGAUCCACGUGUCAGAGAAUGGCUUCUCUCAUCUAAGAGCUUCGUGAUUGAUGCAGAGGAUCUCUUGGAUGAAAUAGAUAAUGCACUCUCCAAAAGCCAAGUGGAAGCUCAGUCUCAGGGUGCUAUUAAAAAGGUAUUCAAUUCCCUCAAAUUUUCUUUUGUCAGUUUCUUUAAAGAAAAUGAAAUUGAAACAAGGAUAGAACAAAUCAUUGCGGUCUUAGAAGAUCUUGAAAACCGCAGCAAAAUUCUAGACUUGAAAAAGACUGAUGAUGUUGGGGUCAGAUCCGGUAGUAGAUUAUCAUCUACAUCUUUGCCAAACGAAACUGAUAUCUAUGGCAGAGAACAUGACAAACAAUUUGUCUUUAACUGGCUCACAUCCGACACUCACAACAACCUAUCAAUACUUUCUAUUGUGGGAAUGGGAGGGGUGGGUAAGACCACUCUUGCUCAACAUGUAUUCAAUGACCCAAGGAUGGAUGAAACUAAUAAAUUUGAUGUCAAAGCUUGGGUUUGUGUUUCAGAUGAAUUUGAUGUUUUCAAGGUAUCAAAAACAAUUCUUGAGCAUGUUACUAAACCCACUGAUGAUGACACUAGAGAUCUGGAGAUGGUUCACAGAAGAUUAAAAAAAGAAUUGACGGGGAAGAAAUUUUUUCUUGUUUUGGAUGACAUUUGGAACGAAAACCAACCUAAAUGGGAGGAAGUGCGAAAGCCCCUUGUUUUCGGAGCCCAAGGGAGUAGGAUUCUAGUGACUACACGUAGUAAGGAAGUUGCUUCUACCAUGCGGUCUGAGGAACACUCCCUAGAACAACUACAAGAAGAUGAUUGUUGGAAGUUGUUUGCUAAACACGCAUUCCGAGAUGAUGAUACUCAACCCAAUCAAGAGUGCAGGGAGAUUGGCAUGAAGAUUGUUAAAAAAUGUAAAGGACUACCUCUUGCCUUAAAAGCAAUGGGAAGCAUGUUAUAUAACAAAUCGUAUGUUUCAGAGUGGCAAACUGUAUUCCAAAGCGAAAUAUGGGAAUUUUCAAAAGAGCGUUGUGAUAUUAUUCCCGCUUUAGCAUUGAGCUAUAUUCACCUUCCUUCCCAUCUCAAGGUAUGCUUUGCUUACUGCGCCCUAUUCCCCAAGGAUUAUGAGUUUGUAAAGGAAGAUUUGAUUCAGUUGUGGAUGACUGAAAAUCAUUGUCGUCAACAUAGGACUCCAGAAGAAGUUUGCCAACAAUACUUCAAUGAUCUACUAUCAAGGUCCUUUUUCCAACAAUCACAUGAAAAAUCACAUGAAUAUAAAGAAGUAUUUUUCAUGCAUGACCUUCUACAUGAUUUGGCAAAAUAUGUCGGUGGAGGCCUAUACUUCACGUGCGAACUUGAUCAAACAGAAAAGAUGUAGAAAGUAACUCGUCAUUUUUCAUUUGGUUACUCCCGAGGUUCUGAUAGGUUUGGAACUUUAUGUAAUGCAGAAAGCUUACGUACAUUUGUGUCGAUACAUAGUUUCUUUGGGGGUUUCAAAAUGUCGAUACAUGAAUUGUUCUCCAAGUUUAAGUUCAUACGAAUCUUAUCUCUGUCUCAUUGUUCUGACCUUCAAUGGUUACCUGACUCUGUUGCCAAUCUUGAGCAUCUUCGUUCCUUAGACCUAUCCAAUACUGACAUAAAAAGACUAAAUGAAAAGAUAUGUUUACUCUCCCACUUGCAAAUACUGAAGUUGAACUAUUGUAAAGUUUUGAAGCAGUUGCCUUCAAAUUUGUAUUUACUCACCAAUUUGUGUCGCCUUGAGUUUAAAGGAACUAAAGUGACGAAGGUGCCACCGUAUUUGGGGAAACUGAAGAAUCUUAAAAUAGUAAUGGGUUCCUUUAAUGUUGGCCAUGAUAGGGAGUUGGGUAUUCAACGGCUAGGAGAGCUCAACCUUGAGGGAAGUCUAAUAAUUCAGGGGCUGCAGAAUGUUGAGAAUUCCCUGGAUGCAUUAGAAGCAGAUUUGCAGAAUAAAACACACCUUGUGGCGCUGAAGUUGGCAUGGGAGUCUGAUCAGAAUUCUAAUGAUUCAAAUGAUCGGAACUCUAAUGAUUCCAAAAAGGAAGAAGAGGUAAUUGAGAAUCUGCAACCUUCCAAAAACUUAAAGAAGUUGUCAAUCUGUAGGUAUGGUGGGAAACGAUUUCCAAAUUGGUUACUAGAAAAUUCACUGUGGAAUAUGACGUCCGUAGUGUUGGAAGAAUGUAAAUCUUGUGAACGUUUACCUCCCCUUGGACUUUUGCCAUUUCUGAAGUUCUUGAGGAUUAGAAACCUUGAUGGGAUAAUGACAAUUGAUGGUGAUUUUUAUGGUAGCAACUCUUGUUCAUUUAAAUCCCUUGAAACAUUGGACUUCUUAUUUCUGAGUCGAUGGGAAAAGUGGGACUGCCAAGCUGUGGGUGCUUUUCCACGUCUGCGAAGGCUGCACAUAGCAUAUUGUAAGAAGUUGAAAGGACAGCUACCAGAGCAACUUAAUCCUUUGGAAACACUACGAAUUAUAUACUGCCCACAACUUCAGACUUCUGCUCCUAGGGCUCUAGAUUUAGAACUAUAUCACUAGGGAGAGCUGCAGUUAGAGUGGGGUCCAAUGAAAAGGCUCACAGUGGAUUCUAUCUAUGAUGAUUGGCUCUCUCUACGAAGUUUUCCACUGGAUUUGUGCCCAACACUCAAGAUGCUUAAUCUCAGUAAGAUUGGUAAUCUAGAGAUGAUUUCACAAAGUCUCAUCCAUAAUCAUCUAGAAGAGCUGACACUCAAUUCUUGUCCUAAAUUUCAAUCAUUGCCUGGAAGCAUGCAUUUGCUGCUUCCAUCUCUGAGGGAGUUAUCCAUAAGACAAUGUUCAGGACUACAGGCGUUCCCUGACGGAGGUUUGCCAUCAAAUCUCCAAACUCUGAAAAUACAAGGUUGUUUAGUACUCGAGUCAUUUCCUAAUGAAGGUUGGCCAUCAAAUCUCCAGACUUUAGUAAUAGAAGAUUGUCCAAGACUUAAGUCGUUCUCUGACAGAGGUUUCCCAUCAAAUCUCCAAACUCUGAAAAUACAAGGUUGUUUAGUACUUGAGUCAUUUCUUGAUGAAGGUUUGCCAUCAAAUCUCCAGAGUUUAGUAAUAGAAGAUUGUCCAAGACUUAAGUCGUUCCCCGACAGAGGUCUUCCAUCAAAUCUCCAAACUCUGACAAUACAAGGUUGUUUAGUACUUGAGUCAUUUCCUGAUGAAGGUUGGCCAUCAAAUCUCCAGACUUUAGUAAUAGAAGAUUGUCCAAGACUUAAGCCGUUACCUGAGAGAGGUUUCCCAUCAAAUCUCCAGACUUUGAAAAUUGAAGGUUGUUUAGUACCUGAGUCAUUCCCCGGCGAAGGUUUGUCAUCAAAUCUCCAGACUAUAACAAUAAAAGAUUGUCCAAGACUUAAGUUGUUCCCUCACAGAAGUCUCCCAUCAAAUCUCCAAACUCUGACAAUAAAAGGUUGUUCAGUACUUGAGUCGUUCUCUGACGAAGGUUUCCCACAAAAUCUCAAAACUUUAGAAAUAAAAGAUUGUCCAAGACUUAAGUCCUUCCCUGGCGGAGGUUUACCAUCAAAUCUCAAGAAUCUGACAAUCAGUAAUUGCUCUAGACUUGUUGGCUCACUGAAAGGAGCUUUCACAGACAGUUCUUCUUUGGAAUGGUUGUGGAUUAAAAAAGUAGAUGCAAAAUGUUUUCCUAAUGAAGGUUUGCUUCCACUCUCUCUUACUUAUCUAAGCAUCUCUGAUUGUCCAAAUCUAGAAAAACUGGACUCCAAGGGUCUCCAUCAACUCUCAUCCCUUCAGAUUUUGUAUCUUAAGAACUGCCCCAAUCUCCAACGCUUACCGGAAGAGGGUCUUCCCAAAUCAAUUUCAGAACUUGAUAUUAGUGAUUGUCCUUUGCUGCAAACGAGUUGCCAAAAAGAUGGAGGCGAAGACUGAAAAAAGAUUAUCGAUGAUUGUAUCAAGGAUGUUUCCGAUAGUGAUGAAUAGUGAUGCAUUUGGUGGGUUAGUAAUAUUUGUUUUUGUUUACAAUGUGUUACCUUCUAACAAUUCAUUCCUUUUCCUUUUUACAUUACAAUUACUAGUACAAAAUGCUUUCAACUUUUUAUUGCAACUACUCCUAGGUAGUUUCCUGUAAAUCAUCUAAACUAAAAACUUAAUUCAGACAAAAAUGAGGAUGCCAAAGAUAAUAAAUAUGUGUUGUAAAAAACACUUAUAAAGUAUGCAUAAAAUAAUAAUUUUUUUUAUUAAUUGUCAUAAUUAUAUAAUAAAAACAUUUUUUUUUCAUGAUUAAGAAUGUAUGGAAAUUUAAAAAAAAAUUAAUCAAAAGAAGAAUGCAAAGGAUAGAAAGAGGUAAAAGAAUAUUAAAAGAAAAAAUACAGGUAUCGAAUACUAUUAAAAGAAUAUUAUGAUUGUAUAGCAAUUAUCAUAAUACUAUUAUAUGAAAUUUAAAUUUUAAAUUAUCGAAUAUUUAUUUGUUUUAUGAUAAUUAAUUAAUCAAAGGUAAAAUUCAGCCACUGUAUCAGUAAAGUAUUAGAUGCUUAAUAUAUGACAUUAGCCUAUCACAUUUAAAUGCUUAAUAAAUUAUAGUAUGGAUUACUCAACUUUUUUGAAUCUUAAGUAUCCUGUGUUGUUCAAAUUCAGAGACAACAGCAGACGUAACCUUACCUAAUUGUCUCCAAAACAGAGAAAGAGGGAACUCAAAAUUCAUUUCAAAGUUCAUUUCAAUAUUCGAUAUACCUGCAUAAUGACACUUGUUUAAGGCAAUGUUAUGCUUGCUUAAUUCAGGAAGUGUGAUUCAAACUAGUAUGUAUAUAUAUCAAACUCACUUUCCAAAUGGAAAAACAAACUCAUCAAUCACACAAAAAUGAUUGAUUGUGAAAGUGGAUGCAGAAUAUUUUCCUGAUGAAGGUUUGCUUCCAUUCUCUUACUUCUCUAGCCAUCUCUGAUUGUCCAAAUCUUAAAAAACUGGACGUCUGCAUCAACUCUCAUCUCUCAAAACAUUGGAACUUCAAAACUGCCCCAACCUGCAAGGCAUACUCGAGGAGGAUCUUCCCAAAUUAAUUUCACAUUUUUCAAUUCGGGGCAACUGCCCUUUGCUCAAACAGGGUUACCAGAAAGUUGGGGAAGACUGGGAAAAGAUUGCUCACAUUCAACAUCUGAAUAUAUAUUAGUGAUGAUGUUUCUUAAGAAUUUUCAUGAAACUUCUACGUGUACGUGCUUGGAUUUUAGCUCCUAAAUGUACUUGUAUACUUGAAGGGCUUGUUGUAUAUGUGCCUGACAUAAAGACAAACCUGUUGAGUUUAGGCCAACUGCUGCAUAAAGGAUUUGUCAUGACAAUGGACGAUAAUUGCCUUAAGAUGUUUGACAAAAAUCACAAACUUGUCAAAAGCAAAUCAAUCUCUGAACUUAACUUUCAGAUUGGAAUGAAUAUUCUGAAGCAUCAAAGUUUUGCUAUAGUAAAGAAUAAGGUGUGAUAAGGUGGAUUGUAAUGGCAUUUUAGGUUUGGUCACCUCAACUAAAGCCAAUUAUCUUUUCCUUUUUUUCAUCUCGUCCA
rnacentral:lncRNA from 1 species